CCUACGGGUGGCAGCAGUGGGGGAUAUUGCACAAUGGGGGGAACCCUGAUGCAGCGACGCCGCGUGGGUGAAGAAGCGCCUCGGCGCGUAAAGCCCUGUCAGCAGGGAAGAAAAUGACGGUACCUGAAGAAGAAGCCCCGGCUAAAUACGUGCCAGCAGCCGCGGUAUUACGUAGGGGGCAAGCGUUAUCCGGAUUUACUGGGUGUAAAGGGGGCGCAGACGGCGAUGCAAGCCAGGAGUGAAAGCCCGGGGGCCAACCCCGGGACUGCUCUUGGAACUGCGUGGCUGGAGUGCAGGAGGGGCAGGCGGAAUUCCUGGUGUAGCGGUGAAAUGCGUAGAUAUCAGGAGGAACACCGGUGGCGAAGGCGGCCUGCUGGACUGCAACUGACGUUGAGGCCCGAAAGCGUGGGGAGCAAACAGGAUUAGAUACCCCAGUAGUC
rnacentral:rRNA from 1 species